UCAAAAUUGUAUUUUAUGCAAUUUGAAUUUUUAGACACAGAAUAAAGAACACCAUGUGGAAUUAUUUUUACUUUUAAAAUAGUUGUCUCCCUUAGGCUACAUGAGAAAUACUCCCCACCCCCAAAAAAACCAACAGACAGAUCCAAAAGGGGGAGGGGUUGUCAAUUUUCAAUUUAGGGGAUCUGUGCGCCCAUACAUUAAUAAGGCCCAAUCUCGUGAAUAUCCAACACCAAAUCUUACUCAAAUUCUAAAGGAGAAAUCGCUGCGAAAUCGAUUUUCUUUGAAAAUACAGACGAUCACUUUGCAAGUUAAGCCUAACAAUCAUGGGACUAGGCCUAUAGGCCUAUUACCUCGAGUCAUGAAAUGCAUUGUAGAGAAAUAUGGUUUGCAGUUUGGGGAUGGAAAAUGAAAUUGGCAACAAUAGCAAAUACAGAAGCUUCUAACCUAAUAGACGGAUUAGAUGUGCUGCUUUCAUGAAAAUAUAUGAUACAAAAACGAUAUGCAUUACUUAAAGUAACAUUUCUGGUCAUGCUAAAUACCGUAGUAAAAAGGAUUGUCACAAACCAACUUACUAGUUGGUCACAUCAGAUGCCAAUUUUAGUAUUCGAAUAUUGGGUCUAAAGCAGUGGGAGGAAACCAGAGGACCCGGAGAAAACCCAUGAGGUUGGACAGGCAACUCUACUCAUUAGCCCAGUUAGUGCAGAAAAGUAAGACACAAAAACCCCAUUUAAUUUCAUUUGCAAUAAUAGGAUAAAACUUAAAAAUCAUAUUUUAAACAAAUUUUGUGGAAAGGUUUAGGUCCCAUAGUACAUACAACCCACUUCUAAGUUUCAUACUGCCUUAUGUCCACUCAUUAGAAUAAUCAGACAAUACUAAAACAUAAAAUAUGUACCAGACUUGGAAAGAUUUUGACAUCAUUCUACAAUCUUCAGACAAAUUUUUAUCUGUUAAAGUCAUCACAUACAGAUUUGUAGAUUUCUAUAAAUUAAAAGAACAAAUAAAUUUGAAUGAUAACAUUCGUAUUACUCAUAAAUACCUACUUGUAGUAGUUUAAGUGGUACUUUUCAACCAGAUUCAUUGCUAAUUUGUUUCAAUUCCGAGACAACAGGUGAUUAUUGCAAUGGGUUUGUCUGUCAAAAGUCACACCUUUCUAAUUGAAGUAGAAUGUUUGAACUUGGCAUAGAUGUUCAUUAGAUGGAUGUCUUCGACAGGCUUUAGCAUUUUCUCCAGGCUUUAGAAUUUUCGAAUUUGUUGAUAUACUUUGUAACACAAUACAAUAACAUUGAUUCUAAUUGGGGGACAUCAGUCUUACUGUUGGCUUGUUUAUUUCUUAUCAAUUCUAUUACAGAAACUAGUCUUUCAUAUGAGAUGUAAAAAAGAAAUCCCCUUGCAUAAGUUGGCAUCCACGUGAACAAACCCUUUGACAGUUGUAGCGCCGCUAUCUGGAGAAAAUUUCCCUCAUGUGACCAUCUCGAUUAGCCCAGUUGGCACAGAAAAGUAGGACAUUAACCACAUUUCAUUUCAUUUACAUUUUUAUAAAAAAAACAUACUAAAAUGAAACAUUACC